rnacentral:rRNA from 1 species
GUCCACGCCGUAAACGAUGGAUGCUAGCCGUUGGUGGGUUUACCCUUCAGUGGCGCAGCUAACGCAUUAAGCAUCCCGCCUGGGGAGUACGGUCGCAAGAUUAAAACUCAAAGGAAUUGACGGGGCCCGCACAAGCGGUGGAUUAUGUGGAUUAAUUCGAUGCAACGCGAAAAACCUUACCUGGCCUUGACAUGUAACGAACUUUCCAGAGAUGGAUUGGUGCUCGAAAGAGAGCGUUAACACAGGUGCUGCAUGGCUGUCGU